rnacentral:sRNA from 1 species
UGGAAGAUGGAAGCCCUUUAUUUAUCCACARAGUAGGCAUAACAGAGGCAGCAAGCAGCCUCCCCAGUGUUUUCUUGCCAGUAUGCUUUAACACUGAUUCAUAGGCCAAAAGGGAUUGUUUUAUGAAUCAUCCUGUUUGCCUGCC